AACCCUAUUCAGCAACAACUAACAACUAAACUUGAGAUUACAUACCUUCCUCCAAGUCAACGUACAAGAAGUCUUCUGAAAUGCUUUGUUUCUUCACCAGCUGGCCUUAAAUCUUGAUAGAUCAGUGUGCCCUGAAUAAAAACGACACUUUAGACCGACCAAAAACAUCAUGACAGCUCAUUUUCAGAAAAACAUACUGUAAUUUAUGGCUGAAUUAUAGUAUAACUUAUGAUGAAUUUUUAAAUUUAUUCUAGUUCUAGAAAUAAUGGAGUUUCUACCAAGAAUUUCUUCAUCCAUUCACACAUCUUAAAUCCUUAAUACUUUUAAUCUCAAUACUCAAUAAAGUUUAACAGAUAUAAAUUUUUAGCAUAGCAACCAUCUAUAAACAGCAGUCAAUCCAAAUACUGAUUUAACUCAGAAAAAGAAAGAAGCACGCUGCUCAGUGAUGCUUCUUGACUGCAUACACUUCUUAGUGCUAGCAAACCACUCCUGAUUACCUAUGUUUCUCAGAAAAAGAAAGAACCACUGGUUUUACACAUGAGAGGGAAAUAAGACCGAGUGCAGGAGCAUAUGAAAUUAGUAUGUUUCUCAGUAGAUCUCAAAUAUCUGACUCACAAGGAGAAGCAGUGGAGAGCAGUCUGCCUCAUUACAAAUCAACCCACAAAAACCCAAAUUCAAACAAAGAUAAACGAAGAAAAUUUAUCCAGUGAUUAACUCUAAGAAAUAAUAGAAACUAUAAGUCUAACAACAAGAUAAUUAACUCUGUUCGAGGAUUUCAAUUGGGUUUGGGUUUGACUCUAACCACAAAGAUAUUUAACGAAACUAUAAGUCUAACAAGAAGGAUCAAAUAAUAGAAAAAUUAUAAAAAGAAAAUCACCCAGUACCAGGGAGAAGAUAUCGGCUUCUUUGUAGGCAAUAGAGUAUGCUUCAGUGGUAGGAAUUGAUGUCGAACCCACGAGAUAAGGCAAUGGCGUCACUUCAGAUUCUGAGAUAGGGCAAUGGUGCCCGACGUUUUCUGAGAUAGAGCAAUGGCGUCAGUUCAGAUUGGGGGAGGCGAUGCACGAGAUGGUGCCGAUUUCGAGAGCCUGCCGGUGACAGCCGAAGAAGAAGUCAACACUACACCCUCGACGCCGACGGUCGUAUGCUGAAAUUGGGGAGGCGAAGGCAAGUUUAUUUUCAGAACAGGGAGGAGGCGCGCGAGUAGAUUUCUGUGAGAUGGGCUAGGGUUUCGGGUGAGAAAAGAUGAGGCUAGCCGGCGACGGUGAAGAAGGCGUCGACGCCGCGGUGUCCGACGGAUUUUUGCUGAGAUAUGGGCGGCGUCUAGGUUUUCUGUGAGAUGGCGCGAGAAGAGACUUUUGAGAAGG
rnacentral:lncRNA from 1 species